rnacentral:misc_RNA from 1 species
UUUUGCGAUUCUCGUUGAUAUUAUGCGUUGUUGGUCCAUGUUUAACAUGCUUAUUUUAUGUCAUUGCAUUUUGCUGUCACCUUCCUCAACUAUAAUACGUAAUAAUAAUGCGAAUAUGUUUGUUUCUUCAGUUUUCAUCUGCUGUAUUUUAGAAAAAAAUUAUACUUAUGUUACUUUGGAUUUGUUGUAAGUUGACAUUUGUCUAUUAUGUUUCUUCAGUGAAAAGUAAUCAAAUCCAUUGCUUCAAUCCUUUAGCCUGAUGCAAUAUUUUCAUAUGUGGGUUUACAUAUACAUAUAUAAUAGUUGGGUAGAGUCUUCUUUUUCUUAUUCGUUUAAAAUUUAGUAUAAAAAGUGGCAGUGCAUUGAUUCUAUAUAUUUCCUUCUAUGUAAUGCACGUGAUUCAACCCUUUUCAUACGUUUAUGGCAUCAUAUUUCAUGCUUCGAAUAGUACGAGUAGAGCUCCGAUGAUUCCCAAGUGAUAUGUCGGCAUCUAUUACUUUUUGUUUUACUUAAAAUUCUAUGUUCAUGUCAACGUGAUGUUCCAUUAUGUAUCUAUUUUAUCUUUACAUGUAUUAUCUUUUCCAAUAAAAAUGCUAAUUUUGAUUAUUUGUUUGUCCUUCUGCAUGUGAAAUAUGUUCUGGUCCUCAUGGACUUUGUCUAUGCAUUUUCCCAUUGGGCCACAAAGGCCCGAAUCUCCAUAUUCGAAUAAGCUUGCAAAAUAGAAGAACUAGUUCCGAAAGGCUUACACAUAUCGAAGUGAAAAGAAUCGAAGAAAGUCACAGAAGGCGGAUUGGAAGAUUUUUUUUAAUUUAUUAU